GUAAAGAAAAAACAAGUCACUUCCAUAAUUAAUGCUUUAUAUACCUUGUAGUGACCUUUGGAAAAAACUCACGGGCAAGUGAAAGGACGGGUCUAAAGAAGUAUUGAAUUCACGUUCCAGAAGCUUUUUCUGGGAUUUAAAUGGCUGAAAAUGGCCGUUGCCUGAAGGGCCUUUUACGAUGACUACCGGAGAUUGCUAGGCAUGAAGUUUGCUUCGACGGUCGUUGUCCAUUUCCAGUUGAACCAUUUUAUCGAGCAAUUUGUAUACAACCACCCUUGUCCAAUUUUAUUUUUUUUUAAUAGAAAAAUCAAGUUGAAUAAUGGUAAAGAUGGAAACAUAAUUGCAGUUAUCUUGAAGACCCGCUGGCGUGUUCUUGAGCUUUCACGGGUUUCUUUAGUUCUUCCUCUCCUUUGAUUUUUUCUUGGCUUUUUUUGCUUUAUUUUUCCCUUUCAAUGGACAGUAGAGAACUUGAUGAAAUAUUGGUUUCAGCUGCCUUCUAAAUACCAGAGCUUCCUGUAGCCUUUUCAUGGUGGGUUUAUUUAGCCCUUUUGCCGGAAAGCUCCUUCUUUCAAGGAAAUUUUUCACGCUACCUUCCAGUAGCUAUUUUCUAUUUUGGUAGUUGCAAUCUUCUUUGAAAAAAAAUGUUGCUGCCUCCUCUCUUUAGGUAGAACACUAAUCGAAAUUUUUUCAAUUUCCAUUGACCUUUUGGUACGUGGUAUAAUAUGGUUAACGUACCGUUUCUCAUGGACGGUGCCAAUCUGUUGACCUCCAAAAAUGGUUCCAACUGAUUCCCUAGUCUCG
rnacentral:lncRNA from 1 species